GUCCACGCCGUAAACGAUGAGUGCUAGACGUCGGGGGCUUGCCCUUCGGUGUCGACGCUAACGCAUUAAGCACUCCGCCUGGGGAGUACGGUCGCAAGAUUAAACUCAAAGGAAUUGACGGGGCCCGCACAAGCGGUGGAGCAUGUGGUUUAAUUCGAAGCAACGCGCAGAACCUUACCAGCCCUUGACAUGGGACGUAUGGGAGGCGGAGACGCCUCUCUUCAGUUCGGCUGGCGUCCACACAGGUGCUGCAUGGCUGUCGU
rnacentral:rRNA from 1 species